GUUCGGCAACGGCCAUGCCAAGGUGCAGUUCACCAAGGAGCCUAACAACCUCUACAACGUGCACUCGUACAAGUACUCUGGUAUGCUGUUUCCUACAUUGCUUGAGUUGUGCUUCGUAUGUAACACACUGUGAUAUUUGCAGUAAAUAAUAAAUAAACAAGUGCUGACUGCAUGUGUCUGUUCUGUUCUCUUAGGCUUGGCGAACAAGAAGACCGUGACGAUCCAGCCAGCAGCUGGAAAGGAGUCUGCUGUGGUCCUCUCGACGACCAAGACCAAGAAGCAGAACACACCUGCCAAGCUCAACCACAAGUCUGUGAUGCGCAAGGAGUUCCGCAAGAUGGCCAAGGCUGUGAAGAACCAGGUACUAGCACAUGAAAAUUCAUAAUGGUUACUUGUCUCUGAUAAUUUGAUUGCUUGUUAUGCUCUAUCUGAUAAUGCAUAGAUCUUUGCUUUACACCCUGGGUAUUAUUUUUGCACAUUGUUGUCAUUAAUUUGUUGCUGUGAUGAGCCAUAACAAGUAAGAAGGCCAACUGAUCAACUGGUUCUUCGAUGAAAUAUAGCUGAUACGCUUGGCUUCUGAGCUAAUUAUCAUAUUGGUUUCAUGUGCUAUUCCUGUUUUUUGUACACUGGUUAUUUUAAAUAUUAUGUUUUGUUUGAAAGAUAGUUAUUUGCUAUGUUGCUUGUAUGGUGCUAUGUGAGAUUUUUUCUUGUUGAUAGAUUCUCUUUUAUAUUUUUGGGUUUCACUGCAUAUCCAAGGUGUAGCUAUGAUGAGCCAUAACUUGUAAGAAGGCCAACUGAUCAACUGGUUCUUCAAUGAAAUAUAAGCUGAUACGCUUGGCUUCUGAGCUGAACCUGCAGAAUACUUAGUCUUUGAAUGGUCGAAGUCUUGCAUGUUCCUUUAUGUGAAGCUUUUUAACUAUGAUUACCAGACCUUGUAACUGAUCUUAUAGGGUUGCUGAUUGUUCUAAUUUGUAUUUUGUUUGCUCUGCAGGUUAGCGACAACUACUACAGGCCUGACCUAACCAAGCCGGCUCUCGCUAGGCUGAGCUCCGUGUACCGCAGCCUCCAGGUUGCCAAGUCUGGCGUCAAGAAGAAGAACAGGCAGCCUAAGCACUAAGCUUGUGUUUUGUUGAGGGUCCUGUUGGUGCUCAAUAGUCCCAGCUUAUUAUCUUUGUUCCGACAGUUUUGAGACUUG
rnacentral:lncRNA from 1 species